GAANNCANCCUCUUGAGUUUGGUCUCGUGNGUUUCGAAGAGUUUUCAAAGCCUUCGGAUUUUCGAGAUUGGGCUCUUCUGGGGUACUUUCUCGUACGGUUAGUCAACAUCGGUUUUGAAUGUCAUAAAAUGACUGGAGGAAUGUGGCUUCGAUCUCGUAUUGAAGUGUUAUAGCCUUUGGUAGAUGUGAUGUUUGAGACCGAGGAUUGCAACGGAUACCCUUCUGGGCUAUUCGUCUGAUCUCUGAAACGUUGCCUUGAUGUCGAAA
rnacentral:rRNA from 1 species